rnacentral:rRNA from 1 species
GAUGAACGCUCGUUUCAGGCUUAACACAUGCAAGUCGAGGGGCAGCACAGGUAGCAAUACCGGGUGGCGACCGGCGCACGGGUGAGUAACGCGUAUGCAACUUGCCUAUCAGAGGGGGAUAACCCGGCGAAAGUCGGACUAAUACCGCAUGAAGCAGGGGCCCCGCAUGGGGAUAUUUGCUAAAGAUUCAUCGCUGAUAGAUAGGCAUGCGUUCCAUUAGGCAGUUGGCGGGGUAACGGCCCACCAAACCGACGAUGGAUAGGGGUUCUGAGAGGAAGGUCCCCCACAUUGGUACUGAGACACGGACCAAACUCCUACGGGAGGCAGCAGUGAGGAAUAUUGGUCAAUGGGCGUAAGCCUGAACCAGCCAAGUCGCGUGAGGGAUGAAGGUUCUAUGGAUCGUAAACCUCUUUUAUAAGGGAAUAAAGUGCGGGACGUGUCCCGUUUUGUAUGUACCUUAUGAAUAAGGAUCGGCUAACUCCGUGCCAGCAGCCGCGGUAAUACGGAGGAUCCGAGCGUUAUCCGGAUUUAUUGGGUUUAAAGGGUGCGUAGGCGGCCUUUUAAGUCAGCGGUGAAAGUCUGUGGCUCAACCAUAGAAUUGCCGUUGAAACUGGGAGGCUUGAGUAUGUUUGAGGCAGGCGGAAUGCGUGGUGUAGCGGUGAAAUGCUUAGAUAUCACGCAGAACCCCGAUUGCGAAGGCAGCCUGCCAAGCCAUUACUGACGCUGAUGCACGAAAGCGUGGGGAUCAAACAGGAUUAGAUACCCUGGUAGUCCACGCAGUAAACGAUGAUCACUAGCUGUUUGCGAUACACUGUAAGCGGCACAGCGAAAGCGUUAAGUGAUCCACCUGGGGAGUACGCCGGCAACGGUGAAACUCAAAGGAAUUGACGGGGGCCCGCACAAGCGGAGGAACAUGUGGUUUAAUUCGAUGAUACGCGAGGAACCUUACCCGGGUUUGAACGCAUUUUGACAGCUCUGGAAACAGAGCCUCUAGCAAUAGCGAUUUGCGAGGUGCUGCAUGGUUGUCGUCAGCUCGUGCCGUGAGGUGUCGGCUUAAGUGCCAUAACGAGCGCAACCCUUGCCACUAGUUACUAACAGGUAAAGCUGAGGACUCUGGUGGGACUGCCAGCGUAAGCUGCGAGGAAGGCGGGGAUGACGUCAAAUCAGCACGGCCCUUACAUCCGGGGCGACACACGUGUUACAAUGGCGUGGACAAAGGGAGGCCACCUGGCGACAGGGAGCGAAUCCCCAAACCACGUCUCAGUUCGGAUCGGAGUCUGCAACCCGACUCCGUGAAGCUGGAUUCGCUAGUAAUCGCGCAUCAGCCAUGGCGCGGUGAAUACGUUCCCGGGCCUUGUACACACCGCCCGUCAAGCCAUGGGAGCCGGGGGUACCUGAAGUCCGUAACCGAAAGGAUCGGCCUAGGGUAAAACUGGUGACUGGGGCUAAGUC